rnacentral:lncRNA from 1 species
GGUUGGUAAGCGGGGUCACCGGACACAUUUUUUAAACUAGUUACCCCAAUGAUGAUUGUGGCCAAGUUUAGUUAAAUAUGGCCCAGUAGUUUCAGAGAAGAAGAUUUUUGUAAAAGUUAACGACGGAUGACGACGGACGACGACGACGGACGCCAAGUGAUGAGAAAAGCUCACUUGGCCCUUUGGGCCAGGUGAGCUAAAAA